GACGAACGCUGGCGGCGUGCUUGACACAUGCAAGUCGAACGGAAAGGCCUGCUUUCCCUUGUGGAUUGCGGGUACUCGAGUGGCGAACGGGUGAGUAACACGUGAGUGAUCUGCCCCCAACUUGGGAAUAAGCCUGGGAAACUGGGUCUAAUUCCCGAUGGGACUUCGGGGGGCUGCCGGUGGUGGAAAUCGUUUUUUUGGUGGUGGGGUAUGAGCUCGCGGCCUAUUAGCUGGUGGGUGGGGAAAUGGCUUACCAAGGCGGCGACGGGUAGCCGCCCUGAGAGGGUGGACGGGCACAUUGGGACUGAGAUACGGCCCAGACUCCGACGGGAGGCAGCAGUGGGGAAUAUUGCACGAUGGGCGGAAGCCUGAUGCAGCGACGCCGCGUGGGGGAUGACGGCCUUCGGGUUGUAAACUCCUUUCGACGGGGAAGAAGCCACCUGGUUGGGAGGGUGGUGACGGUAGUGGGAGAAGAAGCACCGGCUAACUACGUG
rnacentral:rRNA from 1 species